CCCCGAAUUCAGUUGGCUCGAAUUGAGUUGGCCGGGUUGAUGGUCCGCAUGCAAAUGGCUUACAUCGAUCGACCAAAAGGCCAGCCAAACAGGUACCAUCCAUUUGGCGACGAGUUGGAGUUGGAAGACCGUCCUUUCGUCCAAAGUGCCAGCCAAAAAUUGAGACUUCAAGGCUGAAGAGGACACGCCAUGGGCGUAGUUUCGGUCUGGAUCUGUAUCUUUAAAUUAUACUAUAUAUACAUUGCAUAUAUGCAGACGGACGGAUGAAAGACUUGGUAAUGAGUAACACACCCAAUUAGUUGGAAGGUAAUGUCUUAAACGCCACUCCCGCAAAUCAAAAAUUUAGCAUUAUUACUUUUGGUAAAAUAAGGUAAGAUAAUAUACAUUAUAUAUGUAUAAUUGAAAUAAGAGCACAUUUUUAUAAACUAUCAUUUAGAAAUAUUAAAAUAUGAUGAAAUUAACAAGAGCAAGUACUAAUGUAAUAAAUGUAUCUUACAAAUUGAAUGUUGUAUAUCUAUUAGAAACAUGGU
rnacentral:lncRNA from 1 species